GAUGAACGCUGGCGGUAUGCUUAACACAUGCAAGUCGAACGGUCACUUCGGUGAUAGUGGCGGACGGGUGAGUAACGCGUGAGAAUCUGUCUUCAGGUCGGGGACAACAGUUAGAAAUGACUGCUAAUACCGGAUGUGCCUUUGGGUGAAAGAUUUAUUGCCUGAAAAAGAGCUCGCGUCAGAUUAGCUAGUAGGUGGUGUAAGAGACUACCUAGGCUCCGAUCUGUAGCUGGUCUGAGAGGACGAUCAGCCACACUGGAACUGAGACACGGUCCAGACUCCUACGGGAGGCAGCAGUGGGGAAUUUUCCGCAAUGGGCGAAAGCCUGACGGAGCAAUGCCGCGUGAGGGACGAAGGCUUUUGGGUCGUAAACCUCUUUUCUCAAGGAAGAUGAUGACGGUACUUGAGGAAUAAGCAUCGGCUAACUCUGUG
rnacentral:rRNA from 1 species